CUUAAGAUGUCGGAUAAACGAGCUAUCUUGAUAAGAUAGAUAUACAAUUAUAAAAUUGUUCUUAAGC